rnacentral:rRNA from 1 species
GAUGAACGCUGGCGGCGUGCCUAACACAUGCAAGUCGAACGGAAAGGCCCUGCUUUUGUGGGGUUCUCGAUUGCCGAAGGGGGGAGUAUCACGUGAGUAACCUGCCCUUGUCUUUCGGGUAAAUUCACGAAACUGGGGCUAAUAUCGGAUAGGAUCUCCUGCUGCAUGGUGGGCGUUGGAAAGUUUCGGCGGUUGGGGAUGGACUCGCGGCUUAUCAGCUUGCUGGUGGGGUAGGGGCUGACCAAGGCUUUGACGGAUAGCCGGCCUGAGAGGGUGAACGGGCACAUUGGGACUGAGAGACGGACCAGUCUCGUACGGGAGGCAGCAGUCGGGAGUAUUACACAGUGGGCGGACGCGUGAGACGACGGCGCCGCGUGCGGAAUGACCGCUUUCGGGGUGUGAACCGCUGUCGCCUGAGACGAAGCGUGAGUGACGGUAACGGGUAAAGAAGCACCGGCUAACUACGUG